rnacentral:rRNA from 1 species
CCUACGGGUGGCUGCAGUGGGGAAUAUUGCACAAUGGGCGCAAGCCUGAUGCAGCCAUGCCGCGUGUGUGAAGAAGGCCUUCGGGUUGUAAAGCACUUUCAGCGGGGAGGAAGGCGGUGAGGUUAAUAACCUCAUCGAUUGACGUUACCCGCAGAAGAAGCACCGGCUAACUCCGUGCCAGCAGCCGCGGUAAUACGGAGGGUGCAAGCGUUAAUCGGAAUUACUGGGCGUAAAGCGCACGCAGGCGGUCUGUCAAGUCGGAUGUGAAAUCCCCGGGCUCAACCUGGGAACGGCAUUCGAAACUGGCAGGCUAGAGUCUUGUAGAGGGGGGUAGAAUUCCAGGUGUAGCGGUGAAAUGCGUAGAGAUCUGGAGGAAUACCGGUGGCGAAGGCGGCCCCCCGGACAAAGACUGACGCUCAGGUGCGAAAGCGUGGGGAGCAAACAGGAUUAGAUACCCUAGUAGUC